UUUUUAAGGAAAGCAAUUUGUACUAUAUUAAGACAUGUUUGCGGAGACUUCUCUUCAGGAGCGUUUGUUCUAGCUUGAAAUAGAAGAGGAAAAAAGAAUAUGCAAAUUAACAGUGCAGUUGAAUAAGCAAUGAAGGCUGACCAGGGCCACUGCAUCUUCAGAAGCUGAGGUAGAAGAUGAUCUGUAUUCCAUAACUGUAUUUCCUGUAUGAAAGAAAGAGAUGUGAAUUAGCAUCCUCUGGAGGUGGCAUAUUUUCCAAGAUAUCAUACAAGUGGGCGACUGUACGCAUCUGCCAGCAGUUCUGGGAUGGUUGGCAAGUUUCCCUUCCGGAUGAUGAUGUUUGGCUUCAUAGCCCCAGUGAUGUCAAACAUCCUCUUCUCUUCUUGUGUUACUUCGGUGAAGGUGUGAAACCAAAACCUGAGAUUGUAAUGUUUCAGUCCUUCACUGCUGCUCCUGACAGCAAUAUUCAUCACUUUAGUUAUAAUCCUUUCAAGAAUGAAGCCUGAAGAGGUGCAGCAGCUGUGCUAACAACAGCCAAAAGGCAAAAGUGCCUUCCUCUAAUGCUGGGAAGGAGACGAUGCUGAGUCAGUCCUGGGGUUGAUCUUCCACUCCUUGCAGGAGGCAAUGCAACCCUCAUCCACGUGCAGGAUAGACAUACCAUAGCCCAACAUGGAGCAAACUGAGAAAGGCUCUUUGUUCUUCAGUUUUGUUCCCUUGGGAUUAACUGUGCUGCAUUUUUGUUCAUGCCAUACCUCAGCAAUGAGUGUGGAUCAAGAUGGUGCCUAAGGAAGUGCUGUUACUCCAUGAGAGACUCAGAGGCUCAGGAGGAUCAGCAGAUAGCCCCGCUCUUUAAGACAUCAUGUUUUCUGAAUCUACGCUUUCUUGGCAGGUUAAUAGCUUCAGAUACAUUAAUUGCAUUAACUACUGAUAUAUUAUCAGGGGAAAGAAUGUGCUUUGGGCUGGACUGGGGUGUACAGGAAGGUCGUAAGAUUUGUUAGAAAAUGCAGUUCUUACAUCCUAAUGCCUGAAACUUCAUUAUGCCAGAAACCCUCUCACUGAUUGCAGCAGGAUGACUUGCCUGGCUGGCAUGAAGGUGGCUUUAUCUUAAGCUGAGUUUUUUGUACACUUUAAUAGAGUUCAGAAUAGAAAAGUCUGAAAGAAGACAAGGAAUUAAACAGUUGUCUCAUUAAGCCUUCAGCAUUUGCAAAUAGUGCUUUGGUACAGUCUGACUUCCCAGUGGUAAGUAGUCUGUAUCAUUUUGGUCAUUAAAUUACGCACUAAACCUUUCACAAAGCUUUUCUUUAGCAUUUCUCCUUUUAUCAACAGCUGUCAUAGAAACUGGAUGUAAUGCUUCCUCAUCAUACGGCAGCCCUCCAACACCUAAAUUAAGAAGUGAAUAGUGCAGGGGUUAAUUAUGAACCUGGAAAAGCUGUGUAGCACUUCUUGGGAAGGCAUCAGCCCGUGAGGGACCUGCGCGGGGUGCAGCAGUGAGAUGCCUCAGCAGGAGCCAGCAAAGUGUUCACCCUGGAUGUUCAACCAGCUUCACGGCUGCUUUGGAAGAGUCACAACCGAGCUGUCUCGGCGUCAGUUCUGAAAGCAGUAAGCACACAAGGUUACUGCCUGGUGUUUCCUUUCAUAGCUGAGACAUACCUCCGGUAUGGCCGUUAAGGAGACUGCCUGCAAGACAACUCCAUCCAGGAAUGACAUGCAGUUCCUUGGUGUGUUUUCCUUGGCUGCAGCCCGUGUCUCUCUUCAUCCCCUGAUUCCAGACAGCAGCACCUCCUGCAACCACUGCCUUCUACAGAACUUCCAUUCCGCAGAGCUGAGGGAAGGGCUUUGGAGCAUCGCCUGCUGCCUUCACAGAGGCCUUUUAAGAGUUUUUGUUCUGAGCUGUACAGCAAGCAGAAAAGUAAUAUACAUAAUAAAGUAAAGAAAUAUUAUGUACUUGAAUUUUUAAUUAAGUUCUAUUUACGAUGUUGUCGUCCAUUUUGAAACAUUAAGAAUAGCUCUACCUUCAAUGCAGGAAGGAUUUCCCUUAUCUACGUAUUUCACAAUAAAAAAGGAAAAGGAAUGUGGCUAUUUUUACAUUGUAAGUGCCUUUAUGUCAAAUAUAAGCUAGAUUUUAUUUUUUAAUGAAACUUAAUUUAGCCUAGUUAAGAAACCAAUAACCAUAUUUCCUAAUUCAGUUUAUUAAAGUAAUAAACACAGCUAUUCCAGGAAAUGAAAAUAUUUCUGUAUAUGAAAUAGAGUUCUCUGCAGAAGAUAUUCAAGUGUGGAUCUCUGAUGUUUAGCAGUAAAAAUGUAUAUUGGG
rnacentral:lncRNA from 7 species